rnacentral:misc_RNA from 1 species
UAACUAGAGCUACACUCCAAAGUUCUGAAUCGAACCCAUUUUAUGCUUGAGCUUGAGCUUGUUCAACAAACAAGUGUGUGGACAAUCCGCUUGUUCAACUCCAGUAACUGUUCAGACCAAUCCGCCCGUUCAAUUGCAAGUUGGGCCCAAAAUCUUUGCAAAUAAUGUACCCCCUCUUUUUCCUGUAAUAGCAUCAUCUGACAAUGAGCAGAAA